rnacentral:lncRNA from 1 species
GAUUAAGGUCUUAGUUCGCAUCCCAUAGGUUUGAUGUUUAACGACGCUUUAUUGCGUCGCUCAAGUAGCAUAAGCCGACGCUUUUAAGCAUCAGCAUAGUCCAACACAAAAUACGGUGGGAAGCGUGGGUUGAAGUACGCCGACGCUUUUAAGCGUCGGGUUUGUAUAAAAUGAACGACGCUUAAAAGCGUCGGCAUAGUCCAACACAAAAUACGGUGGGAAGCGUGGGUUAAAGUACGCCGACGCUUUUAAGCGUCGGGUUUGUAUAAAAUGAACGACGCUUAAAAGCGUCGGCAUAGAGCGACGAC